UUCGGAAUGAAACCAGAUAUGACUUAGUGGCGGACGGGUGAGUAACACGUGAGCAACCUGCCUUUCAGAGGGGGAUAACGGCUGGAAACGGUCGCUAAUACCGCAUGACGUGUUCGCAUGGCAUUUAUAUCAAAGAUUUAUCGCUGAAAGAUGGCCUCGCGUCUGAUUAGCUAGUUGGUGAGGUAACGGCCCACCAAGGCGACGAUCAGUAGCCGACCUGAGAGGGUGAUCGGCCACAUUGGGACUGAGACACGGCCCAAACUCC
rnacentral:rRNA from 1 species